rnacentral:misc_RNA from 1 species
AUCAUACUUGAAAAUGGAGGCUGUAAAUCAAUGAGUAUCUUGAACUCCAAAAAUUUGACGCCACUACACACGUGCAUUGCGACAUGGAAUGUUGCUGUUGUCAAGAGGUGGGUGGAACUUGCAUCUAUUGAAGAUAUCGCUGAUGCUAUUGACAUACCAAGUCCUGUUGGUACUGCACUGUGCAUGGCAGCAGCCUUAAAGAAAGAUCGUGAAGCGGAGGGGAGAGAACUGGUACGAUUAAUUUUAGCUGCUGGAGCAGAUCCAGCUGCACAAGACACACAACAUUUUCGAACUGCUUUGCAUACUGCUGCUAUGAUAAAUGAUGUUGAGUUGGUCAAGAUCAUCCUCGAUGCAGGAGUUGAUGUAAACAUCAAGAAUGUGAAUAAUACAAUACCUCUUCACGUGGCAUUGAAUAGAGGUGCAAAAUCUUGUGUCGGAUUGCUUUUGUCUGCUGGGGCAAAUUGUAAUAUUCAGGAUGAUGAAGGUGAUAAUGCUUUCCAUGUGGCAGCAUUCUCUGCUAAUAUGAUACGGGAAAAUCUUGAUUGGAUUGUACUUAUGCUCAGGUAUCCUGAUGCUGCUGUUGAAGUUAG